GAAGGUAUAGCUCAGUGGUACAGUGUGUGCCUAGUAUGUAUGAGGUCCUGGGUUCAAUUCCCAGUACCUCCA
rnacentral:tRNA from 1 species